rnacentral:rRNA from 1 species
UACAGAGGGGGGCAAGCGUUUGUUCGGAAUUACUGGGCGUAAAGGGCGCGUAGGCGGUCAGCACAAGUCAGUUGUGAAAUCUCCGGGCUUAACUCGGAAAGGUCAACUGAUACUGUGCGACUAGAGUACAGAAGGGGCAACCGGAAUUCCCAGUGUAGCGGUGAAAUGCGUAGAUAUUGGGGAAGAACACCUGAGGCGAAGGCGGGUUGCUGGGCUGAUACUGACGCUGAGGCGCGAAAGCCAGGGGAGCAAACGGG